rnacentral:tRNA from 1 species
GGGGAUCUAGCUCAGUGUUGGAGCACAUGCCCACUGUACACAAAGCUCUGGGUUCGAGUCCUAGCAUCCCCA